UUUCCCUGUUGCAAAUGGUGGCUCCCAUGCAGCUUUAAAAAUACAAUUUACGACUUGCUUUUGAAGAAUAAAAACAUCAUUUUAGAAUGGCACAUUCCUUUAAGAUGUUCUACACUACAAGUGAAGUAUUGAACAUUUUAGACACUAUUAACCAUAAUGAAAGCGACUUAGAAGAUGAAGUGUCAUCCACUGAUGAUGAAGAUGAAUUAUACACCUUAGCAAAUGAAUAUGACAAUGAAGAAAUAGUUGGUGUUGCAGAUACACCAGACUCAGAUGAGAAUAAGUUGCUAGAAACUCCAGUCAGUUAAAACAAAAAAAAACAUAUCAUUGGCACAAAACAUUUGAGCCACCUGAUGUCAUCUUCAGAGGUGAAAAGCUGCAACUUCCAGACCAGUGGUUCCCAACCUUUUUCGAGUGGCGACCCCCUUUUAUAAAAAUUAAGGACCCGCGACCCCCAUAGAAUUAAAAAGCCGAAAUUAGUAUGGAAAUUAAUAAGCACUAAAAUAAGAUUUUCUAGUAGACUUUCAAUAUGAACUACUUUUGAUAACUGUUUUAAUACCAUGAGUAAAUUGUGUUUUUAAUCGAAAAAUAGUGUUCAAAAUAAAAUUGUAUUCUCGAAAAGUCAA